UGGGGAAUUUUCCGCAAUGGGCGCAAGCCUGACGGAGCAACGCCGCGUGAGGGACGAAGGCCUCUGGGCUGUAAACCUCUUUUCUCAAGGAAGCGGUACUUGAGGAAUAAGCCACGGCUAAUUCCGUGCCAGCAGCCGCGGUAAUACGGGAGUGGCAAGCGUUAUCCGGAAUUAUUGGGCGUAAAGCGUCCGCAGGCGGCCCAGCAAGUCUGUUGUUAAAAAGUGGAGCUUAACUCCAUCCAGGCAAUGGAAACUGCUGGGCUAGAGUGUGGUAGGGGCAGAGGGAAUUCCCGGUGUAGCGGUGAAAUGCGUAGAUAUCGGGAAGAACACCAGUGGCGAAGGCGCUCUGCUGGGCCAUAACUGACGCUCAUGGACGAAAGCCAGGGGAGCGAAAGGGAUUAGAUACCCCAGUAGU
rnacentral:rRNA from 1 species